CGGAGAGAGCGGCUGCCUGCUCUGCGAGCCCCACCAAAAGGCCGGGACCCGGGUGCUCCGGACACCACGGCUCGGGGCACUCUGAGCGCUUUACCUGAUUUUCGCAGAGCCUUUCGGAGUGACACGGCGCCGGGUGGGAGGCUGCAGGCCAGGAGCAAGAAAUGGAGCGAGAAGGUUGAGAUUAAAUCCAUCUCACCGACGGUGUCUGCAAAGUUUCACCAAGUCCCGGGCGCGCAGGGAAAGGGCGUCUCCUGGGGGACGCGGGGGACGCCAGUGACGCGGGGAUGAGAAGGAUGUCAAUAACCUGGGACUACCUAGUUCAGACAGCGGCCACCAAACAUGUAUACCUCACUAGAAAUGCCAAAGAAAAUUCCUUCUUCCUAUAGUGCUCAUUUGGGGUAAAGAGUGCAUUUUAAUAGACACUUAUCUAUAAAGAUCACCUACUGGGAUAUUUAAAGACCCGAAAACCAAGUUUUUAUAUCUCCAAGGCAUCUAUGAGUCUAUCUUAUGUGUCAAAUUCAUUAUUAGCAGAACUCAGUAUGUUUAUACAGGCUUAAAAGUUCAGCUACCAGGAACAGGGAGAAGAAAAUGUGAUGAGAUUUUAUCCUUCAGCAUCUAAAUUAAAUUGACUUACUUUGCAAAAAUAAUUUGGUUUGAGAAAUGAAUAUAUAUAAAGGAGACAUGGCAGUCUGAACAUUUUCUAAAGUUUGAUAUUCAGAAAAUAUUCACCGGAACCUAAAUUGUUUGUGCAAAUUUAUGUAUUUUCAAGGGAUUAUUUUGUGUUAUAUCUUUAUCAAUCAUACAUUAAUAAAAUUAUAGGGAGUGUUUUUAUUUUCAUUUUAAAAAUAACAUUCUCUCUAAUCCUUCCCUGAAGCCUGUGACUGAAAAUGGGUUCAGUCUGCUUAAAGGUACUGUUAGCAUAACUCACACUCUCCAAAGAACAAUCUAAGGCAGAAGUGUCUAAAUAAAAUUACUUUGAAAACUACUAAUUUGUUAAAGAACCAUGUCACAGACCAAAGGCUUAUUCCUCUGGUGUCUGGAGAAGUUCCGAAUGGAAGAGUACAGACUGCAGCAGCUUUCGUAGCUGGCAGAAUUGUGGCAUAAGCAUGGGACAGACAACUCACUGGGAGAGAAGCCCCAAGCUCUCUGCUGAUUAGAUCCUACAGUCUUAGCAGCUACAGUGUACCUUACCUGAACCCCGUUCCUCUCACACUGCCCAAUGCAUGAGGAAACAGAAGAAGAACCACAACUGGCCAGCCAAAGAGCUUCAGGUUCUGACCCUCGCCGUGUUCCUUACCCAAAGCAGUUUAGUAGAUGAAGGUCAGGUCUGCAGCAGACAUGACCUCUGCUCUCCAGGGCUACCUCCCUACUAUGCACGUUCGUACCCUCCCCGGACUCUUGGCCUUUCCACUUUAGAAUGCUGCUGUGUGAAUCGCCAUGCCUACGACCGCAUUGGUAUCAGAGAGUUUGCGAUACAUUAUUUAUGCUGAUUUUAAAAAAAAAAUACAAUUUUCAAGCCAAGUGUAAAUGAGAGAUAAGGGUUUUGCCUUUCUGGAGGCAUAUUUGCAUUUUCAGAGGAAAUCAAAGCGAGGAAAGAAGGAGAUAGCAUAAGAUGCAAAUCGAUGGCCCUAGAUCAGGAGUUCAAAGCCACUACAGUCUUUGGGGGACUUCACACAGCAGAGAUGCCAAUCUAAUCAUUUAGGGGCAAGGUCUCAGCAUCAGAACUUUUUUUUUUUUGGUUUGGUUUGGUUUUUAACAUCACCGUGUAUGUUUUCAAUGUGCAACCCAAGUUGAGGAAUCUCAAUUCUGGCAUAAGAGCACGUGACCAGCUGGUAGGGUUACUGCAUCUGAUCAGAGGUCACUGUGCAGCAGAGCUUCUCGGCUUUCAUGUGAGCUUUCUCAUCUCUUAGGAUCUUAUUAAAACUAAAGUUCUGACCCAGUGGUUCUUGGUGGCUCCAGGGAAUCUGCAUUUCUCACAGGAGUUAUCAAUCCUGCUGAUCUGAAGGCCACAUUUGAGUGUCGAAAUGUGAGAGAGGACAUCAAUAAACUGGUCAAGUCCAGAGAGUCUGAGGUUCUCUAUACUGCACAGCUGAGAAAAUAUUUUCCCAGAGAUGGCGCUUGGGUGCUGGAAUUAACAUGAUGGGUUCCUAAGUUGGGCCCCCCCGAUAAGGAUGAAUAAUGUGCCAAAGAACAGAACUCCCUCAUCAAACCAUUGGGAGAGUCGGUUAGAUAUUAAACCAGUGGAAAACCAAAUGUCCUAAGAAGCUCAGCGUGGAUUUACACAUCUGUAAUCUCGGCACUUUGAAGGUAGAGGUAGAAGGAGCAUGGCAAGCUCAAAGCCAGUCUGGUCUACAGUGAGUUUCAGGGCAGCCAAGGCUACGUAAUAAGAUGAUGUUGAAAAAGAGAG
ensembl:processed_transcript Gm16029 predicted gene 16029